rnacentral:rRNA from 1 species
GAUGAACGCUGGCGGCGUGCCUAAUACAUGCGAGUCGAGCGAACAGACGAGGAGCUUGCUCCUCUGACGUUAGCGGCGGACGGGUGAGUAACACGUGGAUAACCUACCUAUAAGACUGGGAUAACUUCGGGAAACCGGAGCUAAUACCGGAUAAUAUAUUGAACCGCAUGGUUCAAUAGUGAAAGACGGUUUUGCUGUCACUUAUAGAUGGAUCCGCGCCGCAUUAGCUAGUUGGUAAGGUAACGGCUUACCAAGGCAACGAUGCGUAGCCGACCUGAGAGGGUGAUCGGCCACACGGGAACGGAGACACGGUCCAGACUCCUACGGGAGGCAGCAGUAGGGAAUCGGCCGCAAUGGGCGAAAGCCUGACGGAGCAACGCCGCGUGAGUGAUGAAGGUCUUCGGUUCGUAAAACUCUGUUAUUAGGGAAGAACAAAUGUGUAAGUAACUAUGCACGUCGUGACGGUACCUAAUCAGAAAGCCACGGCUAACUACGUG